rnacentral:snRNA from 1 species
CAGUGAGACUAGCUCUUUUAGAAUUUUUCUAGCAGGCUUUCUGGUCUUUACCGGAAAGCCUAU